UUGGUAACGAAGCUAACGCGUGAAGUUGACCGCCUGGGGAGUACGGCCGCAAGGUUAAAACUCAAAGGAAUUGACGGGGACCCGCACAAGCGGUGGAUUAUGUGGAUUAAUUCGAUGCAACGCGAAAAACCUUACCUACCCUUGACAUGCCAGGAACCCUCCAGAGAUGGAGGGGUGCCCGAAAGGGAACCUGGACACAGGUGCUGCAUGGCUGUCGUCAGCUCGCGUCGUGAGAUGUUGGGUUAAGUCCCGCAACGAGCGCAACCCCCGUUCCAUGUUGCCAGCAUUCAGUUGGGGACUCAUGGGAGACUGCCGGUGACAAACCGGAGGAAGGUGGGGAUGACGUCGAAUACGUAAC
rnacentral:misc_RNA from 1 species